CAGCCGCCGCGGUAAUACGAAGGGGGCUAGCGUUGUUCGGAUUUACUGGGCGUAAAGCGCACGUAGGCGGACUUUUAAGUCAGGGGUGAAAUCCCGGGGCUCAACCCCGGAACUGCCUUUGAUACUGGAAGUCUUGAGUAUGGUAGAGGUGAGUGGAAUUCCGAGUGUAGAGGUGAAAUUCGUAGAUAUUCGGAGGAACACCAGUGGCGAAGGCGGCUCACUGGACCAUUACUGACGCUGAGGUGCGAAAGCGUGGGGAGCAAACAGGAUUAGAUACCCCAGUAGUCCCUGUCUCUUAUAC
rnacentral:rRNA from 1 species